GAAUAAAUGAAAAUCACUGACUUAUUGUCUUAGAUUCUUUUAGUCAUUCAAUUCAAUCUAUUCUGUAGGCCUACAACUGUGUCUUCAAAUCGCUGAUAUAACUAAUCAAUAGUUGAUUCCUGACGAUAUAGGUAAUGUUUUUGUGUAUACCAUUUUCAAGCCAAUUACUGGUCAAUAAAUAUUAUGUUGUGAAUAGAUAUAAUCAGCUUUGUUCUUUUGUUUCCCCAGAACAACCUGUAUUUCUAAAAUCAUCUGAACAUUUCAGAGGCAAUGUUGAAUUACAUGACUGGGGUUGCAUUAUGCCUGAGAUCUGCUUUUGGGUUCCACAUACAAAGUCAAACAGCAGGGACCUCGGUAAGCUGAAGUGUACAAGCCGAAUAAAAAUCCUAUGGAGAAAAUCAUUGAAGUGCCUGGACCAUCCACCAGAAAAGAGGAAAAACAAACGGAAAAUGAAGCUGCUGCAUCUUUUCGCUUUUCUCACUUGAGUACCUCACACGUCCCUUGUGAAGAUUGCAUUUUAUGUUGCAGCGAGCAGAGGUGCGGUCACAUUUUGUGAAAUACACAGGCAAAAAGUUCAUUGAUCAUUGUCAUCAGUGUAGCGACGAGCACAGCUCACACAGGAGUCACUUCCAAGGAGCUUUCUGGUGGUCAAACCCAGACAAUUCCAGUGACCAACUUGGGCUCAUUUUUGACCACACAUGAAAUUGCUGAUUGUGUGGAUUCUUAUUAAAAUGACUGAAAAUUCAGUGAACAACAGAUAAAUAGUAACAUUUUACAG